rnacentral:rRNA from 1 species
GACGAACGCUGGCGGCGUGCUUAACACAUGCAAGUCGAACGAAAAUACCAAGCUUGCUUGGUUGAUUAGUGGCGAACGGGUGAGUAACACGUGAGUAACCUGCCCCUUACUUUCCUGGAUAACUGCUCGAAAGGGUAGCUAAUACGGGAUAUUCUGACCAGCCUGCAUGGGUUGGUUUGGAAAGGUUGUUUUUCUGGUAAGGGAUGGGCUCGCGGCCUAUCGGCUUGUUGGUGGGGUGAUGGCCUACCAAGGCUUUGACGAGUAGCGGGCCUGAGAGGGUGGACGGUGAGACUGGGACUGAGAUACGGGCCAGAGUCCUACGGGAGGCAGCAGUGGGGAAUAUUGCACAAUGGGCGAAAGCCUGAUGCAGCGACGCCGCGUGAGGGAUGAAGGCCUGCGGGUUGUAAGCCUCUUUCGUCAGGGAACAAGGCACUGCUUUUUUGGUGGUGUUGAGGGUACCUGGAUAAGAAGCGCCGGCUAACUACGUG